rnacentral:rRNA from 1 species
CCUACGGGAGGCAGCAGUGGGGCAUAUUGCACACUGGGGGAAACCCUGAUGCCACGACGCCGCGUGAGCGCUGCAGUAUUUCGGUAUGUAAAGCUCUAUCAGCAGGGAAGAAAAUGUCGGUACCUGACUAAGAAGCCCCGGCUAACUACGUGCCAGCAGCCGCGGUAAUACGUAGUGGGCAAGCGUUCUCCGGAUUUACUGGGUGAAAAGGGAGCGUCGACGGCUGUGCAAGCCAGAUGUGAAAGCCAGGGGCUCAACCCCGGGACUGCAUUUGGAACUGUGUGGCUGGAGUGUCGGCGAGGCAGGCGGAAUUCCUAGUGUAGCGGUGAAAUGCGUAGAUAGUAGGAGGAACACCAGUGGCGAAGGCGGCCUGCUGGAUGAUGACUGACGUUGAGGCUCGAAAGCGUGGGGAGCAAACAGGAUUAGAUACCGUGUAGUC